rnacentral:tRNA from 1 species
GGAGGAUUACCCAAGUCCGGUUGAAGGGAACGGUCUUGAAAACCGUCAGGUCGUGAAAGCGGCGCGGGGGUUCGAAUCCCUCAUCCUCCA